rnacentral:rRNA from 1 species
GACGAACGCUGGCGGCGUGCUUAACACAUGCAAGUCGAACGGAAAGGCCUGCUUUCCUUUGUGGUUUGCGGGUACUCGAGUGGCGAACGGGUGAGUAACACGUGAGUUAUCUGCCCCCAACUUGGGUAUAAGCCUGGGAAACUGGGUCUAAUUCCCGAUAGGACUGCAGGGUGCUGCCUGUGUUGGAAAACGAUUUUCUAGUGGUUGGGGAUGACCGCUGGGCCUAUCAGCUUGUUGGUGGGGUAAUGGCCUACCAAGGCGGCGACGGGUAGCCGGCCUGAGAGGGUGAAAGGGGAAAUGGGAAAUGGGACACAGCCCAGAGUGAGACGGGAGGCAGGAGUGGGGAAUAAUGCACGAAGGGCGGAAGCAUGAAGCAGCGACGCGGGGAGAGGGAUGUCGGGCUUCGGAGUGUAAAUGUAGGGGAAGGAGAGGAAGAAAUCUGGAUGGAAGGGUGGUGACGGUAGUGGUAGAAGAAGCACCGGCUAACUACGUG